rnacentral:rRNA from 1 species
AUUGAACGCUGGCGGCAGGCCUAACACAUGCAAGUCGAGCGGAUGAAGGGAGCUUGCUCCUGGAUUCAGCGGCGGACGGGUGAGUAAUGCCUAGGAAUCUGCCUGGUAGUGGGGGAUAACGUCCGGAAACGGGCGCUAAUACCGCAUACGUCCUGAGGGAGAAAGUGGGGGAUCUUCGGACCUCACGCUAUCAGAUGAGCCUAGGUCGGAUUAGCUAGUUGGUGGGGUAAAGGCCUACUAAGGCGACGAUCCGUAACUGGUCUGAGAGGAUGAUCAGUCACACUGGAACUGAGACACGGUCCAGACUCCUACGGGAGGCAGCAGUGGGGAAUAUUGGACAAUGGGCGAAAGCCUGAUCCAGCCAUGCCGCGUGUGUGAAGAAGGUCUUCGGAUUGUAAAGCACUUUAAGUUGGGAGGAAGGGCAGUAAGUUAAUACCUUGCUGUUUUGACGUGACCAACAGAAUAAGCACCGGCUAACUUCGU